UACGGAGGGUGCAAGCGUUAAUCGGAAUUACUGGGCGUAAAGGGUGCGUAGGCGGCCGUUUGCGUCGGAUGUGAAAGCCCGGGGCUCAACCUCGGAACGGCAUUCGAUACGGGACGGCUGGAGACCGGGAGAGGAGAGUGGAAUAGCCAGUGUAGAGGUGAAAUUCGUAGAUAUUGGCUGGAACACCGGUGGCGAAAGCGGCUCUCUGGCCCGGUUCUGACGCUGAGGCGCGAAAGCGUGGGGAGCAAACAGG
rnacentral:rRNA from 1 species